GACGAACGCUGGCGGCGUGCCUAAUACAUGCAAGUCGAACGAAGCUGUUUUAACUGGUGCUUGCACCGACUUAAACAACUGAGUGGCGAACGGGUGAGUAACACGUGGGUAACCUGCCCCAAAGCGGGGGAUAACAUUUGGAAACAGAUGCUAAUACCGCAUAAUCACAGAAACCACAUGGUUUCUGUGUCAAAGAUGGUUUCGUCUAUACCUUUGGGAUGGACCCGCGGCGUAUUAGCUAGUUGGUAAGGUAAUGGCUUACCAAGGCAAUGAGACGUAGCCGAACUGAGAGGCUGAUCGGCCACAUUGGGACGGAGACACGGCCCAAACUCCUACGGGAGGCAGCAGUAGGGAAUCUUCCAAAAUGGACGAAAGUCUGAUGGAGCAACGCCGCGUGAGUGAAGAAGGUUUUCGGAUCGUAAAACUCUGUUGUCAGAGAAGAACGUGUGCGAGAGUAACUGUUCGUGCAGUGACGGUAUCUGGCCAGAAAGCCACGGCUAACUACGUGCCAGCCGCCGCCGUAA
rnacentral:rRNA from 1 species